rnacentral:rRNA from 1 species
CGACUACAUGAAGCUGGAAUCGCUAGUAAUCGCGAAUCAGAAUGUCGCGGUGAAUACGUUCCCGGGUCUUGUACACACCGCCCGUCACACCAUGGGAGUCAGUAACGCCCGAAGCCGGUGACCCAACCAAACGGAGGGAGCCGUCGAAGGUGGGACCGAUAACUGGGGUGAAGUCGUAACAAGGUACC